UUAAAGGUUCUUUUCUAAGAAUGCCAAGUUAUUUUUAUGGCGUCUUUGAUAUGUAUAUGUUUAUGAUUAAUUAUCAAUGCAUCGUGUGAGUUGAUCCAGUUUUGUCUAACUUAAAGUUAGUCCUUAGUGGUAGGGAUAAUUAAUAGCUAAUCAUUCAAAUCACUGGACCUAAUUAUAACACAUGAUGUUUAGAUUCAAAUAAACCUUUUGACUCACUUAAAUGUACCGUAGGGAUUAGAUGACUGAACUAGGUGAUAUACAUUAGCUUGAGGAUUGUAGGCAUUGAUUAAAACUGGAAAGUGAGAAAGACUCCAAGUAGGUGUUUGUUACACCUCGUAGUUUUGGACGUUGAGGUUCGUUAGGUAUUAGUUGUCUAGAGUGAUAUGCGCCUAUCUUAUGGUUAUGAGGGUUUAAGACGAUGUAUCAGAGGUAUCGAAAGGAUUGGAGGUCGAAAAAGGAAAAUUUGGCCGAACUGGAAAAAAUUGCCCUACGCGUUCGCGAUAAAGCCUCAUGUUCGUGAUGGCCAUAGAAAUUCCAGACCAUCGCGUUCGCGAGAGGCCCUCGCGUUCGCAAAGGCCAAUUAUUAAGUCAGUUCCACCGACUUUAACCCCCUAUAUAAAGGGUAAAACCCCUUUUUUUUACCAAAUUAUUUCCCAAAAACUCAAAAAAUAGAUAGGGGUGUCAAGAUAACAUAAAAUUGAGUGAUUUUCAAGUGGCGGAGUAUUAGUUUAGGUUCGAAUAGCGCACAGUUGUGAUUGUAGUAUCGUUUUGCGGUGAAUUUUGGCUUGGAUUCAAGGUGAACAUUGAAGAUAUUGUCACAGUAAGAAUAAGGUAUGAAUCUCUCCCUAUUGAUAUUGCUUUAGGUUUAUUUACAGAGACAAAGUGGUUAAAUAGGUCGUAUAAUGAAAUAGUCGGCUGAGAAAUAGGAUAAGCAUCAUAUGGGAUGUUUUAUGGAGUAUUUUGGUAUUGAUGAUGAUGUUGUGAUGUUAGUAUUGUUGGGAGAUGCUGCCCCAUUUUCGACAGGAAUAAAAGUAGUUUAAUUUGAAAGUUCAGCACAAGUAUACGAUGACAAGUCUAACGAUAGUAUGAAUUCUUUCGAAUGUAGAUUUAAGAGCUCGGAAGGAUAAGCGUAGGUAAUAGGAGCCCGAACAGGCACAUUUGACAGGGGGUGACGAUGUGGCCUUUGUUGUGGCGUUUAUAUACAUAAGGCAGACUUGACAGGGGGUGACGAUGUGGCCUUUGUUGUGGCGUUUAUAUACAUUAGGCACAUUUGACAGGGGGUGACCAUGUGGCCUUGUUGUGGCGUUUAUAUAUAUAAGGUUCAGGUGGACAGAGAGACGGGCCAGCUUAGUAGGAUUUCGCCUCAGCUGUAGUCGGUGCACUCCACUUGAUCCGGAGUUGUGGUCUAUUUUGGUGCGUUAUUUUGGGAUGUAUAUGCAUAUAUGGGUAUGACAGGAGCCCUGUCCCGUCCUUUCCACGGCUUGUACUUCAUUAGAGAUUAUGCAGAGUUUAUGACGACAUCCUUUCCUGAGUCUGUAUAAGUUCGGUUUGAACUACUUAUGGACCCUUGUUAUUUAAUCUCAUUCAGAUACAAGUA